CCUACGGGAGGCAGCAGUGGGGAAUUUUGGACAAUGGGCGCAAGCCUGAUCCAGCAAUGCCGCGUGAGUGAAGAAGGCCUUCGGGUUGUAAAGCUCUUUUGUCAGGGAAGAAACGGUGGUUCCUAAUACGGACUACUAAUGACGGUACCUGAAGAAUAAGCACCGGCUAACUACGUGCCAGCAGCCGCGGUAAUACGUAGGGUGCAAGCGUUAAUCGGAAUUACUGGGCGUAAAGCGUGCGCAGGCGGUUAUAUAAGUCAGAUGUGAAAUCCCCGGGCUCAACCUGGGAACUGCAUUUGAGACUGUAUGGCUAGAGUGUGUCAGAGGGGGGUAGAAUUCCACGUGUAGCAGUGAAAUGCGUAGAUAUGUGGAGGAAUACCGAUGGCGAAGGCAGCCCCCUGGGAUAACACUGACGCUCAUGCACGAAAGCGUGGGGAGCAAACAGGAUUAGAUACCCUGGUAGUCCACGCCCUAAACGAUGUCUACUAGUUGUCGGGACUUAAUUGUCUUGGUAACGCAGCUAACGCGUGAAGUAGACCGCCUGGGGAAGUACGGUCGCAAGAUUAAAACUCAAAGUGAGUAGAGNGNGAGAGAGCGAGACGACGACGAGGGAGGAGG
rnacentral:rRNA from 1 species